GCAGUCGACGAACUCUGGUAUUGAUUGGUGCUUGCAUCAUGAUUUACAUUUGAGUGAGUGGCGAACUGGUGAGUAACACGUGGGAAACCUGCCCAGAAGCGGGGGAUAACACCUGGAAACAGAUGCUAAUACCGCAUAACAACUUGGACCGCAUGGUCCGAGUUUGAAAGAUGGCUUCGGCUAUCACUUUUGGAUGGUCCCGCGGCGUAUUAGCUAGAUGGUGGGGUAACGGCUCACCAUGGCAAUGAUACGUAGCCGACCUGAGAGGGUAAUCGGCCACAUUGGGACUGAGACACGGCCCAAACUCCUACGGGAGGCAGCAGUAGGGAAUCUUCCACAAUGGACGAAAGUCUGAUGGAGCAACGCCGCGUGAGUGAAGAAGGGUUUCGGCUCGUAAAACUCUGUUGUUAAAGAAGAACAUAUCUGAGAGUAACUGUUCAGGUAUUGACGGUAUUUAACCAGAAAGCCACGGCUAACUACGUGCCAGCAGCCGCGGUAAUACGUAGGUGGCAAGCGUUGUCCGGAUUUAUUGGGCGUAAAGCGAGCGCAGGCGGUUUUUUAAGUCUGAUGUGAAAGCCUUCGGCUCAACCGAAGAAGUGCAUCGGAAACUGGGAAACUUGAGUGCAGAAGAGGACAGUGGAACUCCAUGUGUAGCGGUGAAAUGCGUAGAUAUAUGGAAGAACACCAGUGGCGAAGGCGGCUGUCUGGUCUGUAACUGACGCUGAGGCUCGAAAGUAUGGGUAGCAAACAGGAUUAGAUACCCUGGUAGUCCAUACCGUAAACGAUGAAUGCUAAGUGUUGGAGGGUUUCCGCCCUUCAGUGCUGCAGCUAACGCAUUAAGCAUUCCGCCUGGGGAGUACGGCCGCAAGGCUGAAACUCAAAGGAAUUGACGGGGGCCCGCACAAGCGGUGGAGCAUGUGGUUUAAUUCGAAGCUACGCGAAGAACCUUACCAGGUCUUGACAUACUAUGCAAAUCUAAGAGAUUAGACGUUCCCUUCGGGGACAUGGAUACAGGUGGUGCAUGGUUGUCGUCAGCUCGUGUCGUGAGAUGUUGGGUUAAGUCCCGCAACGAGCGCAACCCUUAUUAUCAGUUGCCAGCAUUAAGUUGGGCACUCUGGUGAGACUGCCGGUGACAAACCGGAGGAAGGUGGGGAUGACGUCAAAUCAUCAUGCCCCUUAUGACCUGGGCUACACACGUGCUACAAUGGAUGGUACAACGAGUUGCGAACUCGCGAGAGUAAGCUAAUCUCUUAAAGCCAUUCUCAGUUCGGAUUGUAGGCUGCAACUCGCCUACAUGAAGUCGGAAUCGCUAGUAAUCGCGGAUCAGCAUGCCGCGGUGAAUACGUUCCCGGGCCUUGUACACACCGCCCGUCACACCAUGAGAGUUUGUAACACCCAAAGUCGGUGGGGUAACCUUUUAGGAACCAGCCGCCUAAGGUGACAGA
rnacentral:rRNA from 2 species